CUCUUUAUGAUGGGUGGGGGAAGGAGCCUGGGUCAGGGCUGCAGCUAGAAGCUGGAUAAAAGGCAAGAGAAUUCUGAGGAUGGAACUUGAGCUGGCCUGUCUGAAGGAAGCCUAAGGAGAGCUGGGCUGUGCACUGCGGCAGGAGCCUCUGAGGUUGUCUUCGAAUGGUAUAUUCUCCUCUCCCCAGCUAGCCUGCACUGCUGGGCUGCUGCACAGUACAAGACAAGCUGGGUCAAGUGAGCUUUGGACAUCAAGUAUUCCUGAAGCAGACACAGGAGAUGAAAAACGGGUACCCAGCAUCAAACCCGAAAGGAUUAAGUAGCUGCUGUGGGCUCAAAAAGAACUCCACCCCCACCAGAUCUGCAAGGCAUCCUUGAGCUGCGGGAAGGAGCAGGAAGGGAGAAGCCCAGUGCAGUCCUGGGCGGGGGGGAAAUCGCUAAAGCCUGAGCUCCAUUGGAGAAGCCUACUCACACGACUACAGACUGUCCAAGGCCUCUGAGAAGGAGGUGGGCUAGACUCCAAACGAUUACCUGUGGGUACUUUUCUGGUGGUUUGCCUGAGGGCACUGAGCUGGACUGUGGCUGGUCAGUGGCUCCCUGAAGGAAUGGAGGGUCGCAGCAUUUUUGGGACAGUUUUUAUUUCCCCAUAAAUUUCCCUCCCCCCCUUCUCUUCUAUGGAACCCAGAAAGGGUAAGUUCCAGCGGAACCCAGCUGGAGGGAUGAGUUUCCAUCCCCAGUCCACAGCACUGCUGGCUGCGUAGGUGAGGGAGUCCCCAUCCCACCCCAAAGCAGUGCUGUGGAGGGACUUAAGCCAAUGACACACACUUAAAGUGCUAGGAGUCUUGCUGCCUCUCUCUGGUCAGCCAAGCACCGAGCACAUUAACCAUUCAGUUAUUCCUUUAGGCUGUAAGUCCCUAGUGCACACAAGGAAAGAAGAAUCCAAAAUGCAUUUACAGCUCAUCAGGGAAAGGAAAAAUACAUUCCCAACCAUACCUUCUUUAGGAAGUUCAUGGUCAAGGAAUCUUAGUAGGGGAAAAAACAUGACAGUGACUGCACAAGGAUGUUUCUUACAAAUUCCAGAGCAGCCUGUCAACACAGAUGUGGACUUUUCCUUCCCAGAUAUUAGUCUGGUGCCCUCAAAAUGAUUACUGCAAAGUGGGGUUCUCAUACCAUCUGUUUUGUAUUUAUUUAUUUAUUUAUUUAGCCUCACACUGCCACCUCUGAGGCAAUCACACCCUUUCUGUGCUAUGAUGACCAGUAUUGCGCACUGCAGAUCUGAUCCAAGCCCAGGGGAGACAGUACACUGACUUCAGUGGACUUUGGAUCAGCCCUGUAUGUGAGGCACCAAAUUGAAGUCAAUGGAGUUACACCCAGGAUGAAUUUGGUUGAAGGUCUACAUGUGCCAACAGAAUCACCUCCGCCAAUACAGCCUACCAUAGGAACUUGUUUAUGUGCUCUUGGUUUCAACUACUUUCCUACAGUAACUGCCAAAUCCUUUCCUCUUCAGCGUGCUGAAUGCUGCCUUGUUCUGUUUAGCAAAUAUCCACUAGCUUGAAUCUUACCUCUGAUUACUAAUUAUUGUAUGUUUGUCUGCAAUGAACUACAUGUUGCAUCUGAUGGUCCAAUUAUAUAAAUGAUCCAGAUUUUUUCCCUUGAACCUCAUUUUUUCCCUUAUGAUUCAGUCUAGACAGGGAAGAGUAAUUAUGUACUUUUUAUGCAAAACUGACAAUUUCUGGUUGUUUUACAGUUUUAAAGAUUAACUACAGAAUAAUCUGCUGUGCUCUUAGUUUA